CUCCUUUGACGUUAGCGGCGGACGGGUGAGUAACACGUGGGUAACCUACCUAUAAGACUGGGAUAACUUCGGGAAACCGGAGCUAAUACCGGAUAAUAUUUCGAACCGCAUGGUUCGAUAGUGAAAGGUGGUUUUGCUAUCACUUAUAGAUGGACCCGCGCCGUAUUAGCUAGUUGGUAAGGUAACGGCUUACCAAGGCGACGAUACGUAGCCGACCUGAGAGGGUGAUCGGCCACACUGGAACUGAGACACGGUCCAGACUCCUACGGGAGGCAGCAGUA
rnacentral:rRNA from 1 species